AUUAACUAAAUGGGGUUAGAUAUAAUAUCACGAAUAAGAGUGAGCUAAACAUAAUAUGUUCAUGGGACCUUAUACGUAGCAUAGUAUAUAUAAAUAUGUGUUUAGGGGUGAUAGGCUUUCCAAACUUUUUGAUAACUUGUUGCACAUGAAAAGUAUUUAGUACAUAGACAUACUUAAAAAGUUAAGCUUUUAAGUGCUUAUAAAAAAUAGUUAGGAUUAUUCACGCAGAAUAAUUCCUAGUAAAUAAAUUAUACUUACAUUAAAUUUAUAUAAUUAUAUUUAUUAGUGUGCCAAUUAGUCAAUAUCUUACUUUGAUAAUGUUAAUAUUAGUAGUUAUUAAAAAUAUACUUAAAGAACUCGGCAAAUUUACUGCUCAACUGUUUAUCAAAAACAUAGCUAUAUGAACUAAUAUAUAGUUAUUUCUGCUCCAUGAUUGUUAAAUAGCCGCAGUACUCUGACUGUGCAAAGGUAGCAUAAUCAGUUGGCUUUUAAUUAAAGUCUGGAAUGAAUGAAAACAUGGGUGGAGACUAUCUAAGUGUAUUCAGUUGAACUUAAUAAGUAAGUGAAAAUACUUAUAUAGGUACAAAAGACGAGAAGACCCUAGAAACUUGAAAUGCUUUUUGUUGGGGCGACAAAACUACAAUUAACUAGUUUUUAAGACGUGACGUGAUGAUGAAAGAAUAAGUUACUCUAGGGAUAACAGCAUAAUUUUAUUAGUUUGUGACCUCGAUGUUGGACUAGGUAUUAUAUUCUUUAGGCAAGAAUAUAAAAUGCUCUGUUCGAGCAAAUAUACCUACAUGAUCUGAGUUCAGACCG
rnacentral:rRNA from 1 species